UACAGGGGGGUGCAAACGUUGCUCGGAAUCAUUGGGCGUAAAGCGCACGUAGGCGGUUCGUUAUGUCGGAUGUGAAAGCCCUUGGCUUAACCGAGGAAGUGCAUCCGAAACUGGCGAGCUAGAGUACGAAAGAGGAUCGCGGAAUUCCCGGUGUAGAGGUGAAAUUCGUAGAUAUUCGGAAGAACACCAGUGGCGAAGGCGGCCAACUGGUCCGGCACUGACGCUGAGGUGCGAAAGCGUGGGGGAGCAAACAGG
rnacentral:rRNA from 1 species